GAUUGCGUUCCUGCGCUCUCAACCUACCAUCUCCCCCACCCCCGUCCUUUUUCAAUCAUGAAGAUUGUGCUCAUGGGCGCCCCCGGCUGCGGCAAAGGUACGCAGAGCCCGUACAUACAGGACCGGUACGGUCUGUGCCAUCUGUCGACGGGUGAUAUGCUGCGCGACGCGGUGGCGCGGAAGACUGCGAACGGAAAACUGGCGAAGGACGCCAUGGAUUCGGGCAAGCUUGUCAGUGACGACAUUGUUUUUGGGAUUGUGAAGGAUAGUAUUAAGAACCCCGAGUGCCGCUACGGCUACAUCCUAGACGGCUACCCGCGCACGCUGAAGCAGGCACAAAUGAUGGAGGACGCCGGGGAGAAGAUAGACAAGGUAAUCGAGUUCAGCGUUCCGGACGAGGUCAUCCUGGAGCGGACGAGUGGCCGGUGGAUUCACAAGCCGAGCGGGCGCACGUACCACGAGGUGUUCCGCCCUCCGAAGACGCCCGGCAAGGAUGACAUAACGGGUGAGGACCUCUACCAACGUCCCGACGAUCGCCGCGAGGUGUGCGAGAAGCGCCUAGACAUCUAUAAGAAUGAGACUCGUCCUCUCGCCGACUACUUUAUCAAGGAGGGCGUGUACUCGAUGAUCAACGCCAACCAAACGAUCGACGAAGUUCGAAAGGCCAUCGCCGCUUUGCUGGACCCCAUUGGCAUUGCAACGGGUCUCAAGUAGCACCAGAAAAGUAGGCGAGGAAGUGUCGUCGUAGUUUCUCGAUCUUGGGUGGACCCGCACGUUCCCCGCAGAUGCUUCGCAAAAGGGGGGUCGAUAUUGAUGAGUGGCCAUUUCUCUUCUGCGGCUUUGUUGGCGCUGUAGUUCACAGGCGCACUCUAGGAGUAGUAGUGGAUCGGGUUUUCUUGUAUGAAAUGCACUGAUGCUGCACGUCUUUGCUCACGCGUAUGCCUUCGCGCGCGCUGGGCAAAUGGCGGGUAUUGAGGGUUGCGUUGCUUCCGCUUUUUUUUGGUGUGCGUGCCUUUUUUGACUGUCGCUGUCGAGUUCGUUCCCCAUUUUCGCGGAGCCCACAUCAAAUCGGCAAGCGUCAAUGAGAACGGGAUAAGGGAGAAAGUGAUGGCGUGACUCAAAGGCGUAUCCCACCCGGCCCUCACACCGCCCACUGGCGGGAAGCCUGGGCUACGCCGAGGAAUGCACCAGGGGUGGCGACCGGCAUGAUGGAGGAGCGGUUGUGAGGCGAUCUGCGAAGCGAGUUGAGAGGGGGGAGGCAGAGUUGGAAGUGGAGGCUGUGCUCGCAGGUGACGGAGUCCAGCGCAUUGUUGCUACGCGUGCGUCUACGGCUGCUUCGCACCGCGCAAUAGGGACCUGUGACAGGGCAGGUAGAUUGCUGCUGAGCUCCAGUUUCAGGCCUGAAUGGAUGCGGUGGAGAAAAGAAGCUUGCGAGCGGGGAGUCGAGUACCGCCUUUGCUCGCGUCUUGGUGUUUCUUAUUUACGUUGCCUUCCUUGCUACUUUCCGGGUUUGUAUGUUGGCGGUGUGCUGCCGGGCGGAGGUAAGAGCAUAUCUUUGCUUUCGACUUUAAUGCGUUCUUCCUUGUGACAUCAUGCGCCUGAGGUGGGGAGCUGAGGGCGUGUGCGUUUGCUUGUCUGUGUCUGCGUACCGUGUCUCGGCCAGCAUCCCCGUCCUGUGGCCUUUGUUGCCGUUCUCGAAAUCUGUGGAGUCUCUCAUUCCUCUCAGAUGACGAAGUGGGUGGCGCACAAACUGUAGAAGCACCAUAGACGCACCCACAAAGACGCCCACACAGGGGCUUGUGAGCGCACAUAGAUCGUUGGUGCUCAGACGGCGUGCGGGGUGAUGGUGGUGGCGAACUUCACAGAACCCACGAAGAAUAUGAACGAAAAAGCGCUGCGUUUCGCGAAUGAGAAGACUUACCUGAUGGUUGCCGUCAUCUGCGGCAGCCCCCCCCCCUUCCCGCCCUCCCCGCGUCCUUCUUCCGCCUUCCGAUUCUGUGUUUCGUUGGAACAGCUCGUUUCGCCGCAUGUGGGUAUGCUAGGAAUCGGAGGUCGGGGAAGAAGGGCUGGGGACGGUGGAAGAAGCGACGGCGUACGAACAGCGUUUUCUUCAUCGUUUUGUUUGAAUUUUUUUUUCGGCUUUACUUUCCGCCUGUUUUUUUUUUCCGCCUUUGCUCACAUCAUCAUCACACACGUCAGCGUGUUUUUGUAUGUGUGACGUGUCUUCGGUAGUUGUUGUUGUUCUCUGUGGGAAGAGUGAGAGAGUGUACAUUCGAAGUCUCCCGCGGUGGUGAAGAGCCUCAUGCGGUCACGCGUGAAACGGAGAGGUGAAAACAAGAGGGACAUGUGCAAGAGAACAUGAGCUGUCAAGCGGCGGACGGCCAGUUGGCAAGUUGGAGUGACACACACACAGACAUAGUGCAACAAAAUCGGGGCGUCUAUAGCGCGGCCCCCAAACGCAUGUGCACGCAGCCCUGCUCGCCUUGAUAGCUUUCCUUUUUGUAAUUCUCUUUCGAUCAGUUUUCGUGUUUUUGCAGCCGCUCAUACUUGCGCCCAUGCAUCGUAUUUACUAGGAGAGCUGCUUGUAUGUGUGUGGGUGCUUGUCCAACGACACCACCCUUCGCCUGAUUUCGGUAUCUGUGUUGCUGAUUUUUCGAAUGGGAGAGGCGUGCCUUCUCUCUCGCUCCCUGUUCUUUGCCCCAGGCCGCCUCGGCUUUCACCUCUGACACAUCUUUGUUUGCGAUCAUCGAUACGAUCCGUGUGGAGCACCGAGUUGGCGAUGCCCAUUGCUAUCUCUUUUGCCGCUUUUUUUGUGUAUGUGCGUCGUCAUUUUCACCCCCUGCCCUCCCCCCUGCGCCCCCGCCCGCCAGCUCGUGCACUCUCCUCCCCCGUCUCUUCUCCACAUCGAAGCUUGGGUGAAUUUCGCGUGACUAGGAUGGAAGUUUUUGCCUCUCGGAGUUAUUAUUGGGUAUCUUCUCCCCUUCUCACUUUUCGUUUUCUAUCUGUGACUCUUUCGCUUUUCGUUCCCUUUUCUUUCUGUUUUCUGUGCUGUUGUUGCUCACUCCUCUCUCUGCGUGCAAUGGUCCUUCGGCCUUCUAUUUCUCUGACUCAUUGCCAUCUGCCUCAUCCUCUCUCCGUGUCUUCCCUACCACAG
rnacentral:misc_RNA from 1 species